GCGGGUGUAGUUCAAUGGUAGAAUCCGAGUUUUCCAAACUCGUUACGCGGGUUCGAUUCCCGCCACCCGCUCCA
rnacentral:tRNA from 1 species